AACGUAGGACGCAAGCGUUAUCCGGAGUUACUGGGCGUAAAGGGCAGGCAGGCGGGUCGAUAAGUCGGCUGUGAAAUCUCCCUGGCUUAACCGGGAGAGUGCAUUUGAGACUGUCAACCUGGAGGGCAGCAGAGGAGCGUGGAAUUCCGGGUGGAGUGGUGAAAUGCGUAGAGAUCCGGAGGAACACCAGAGGCGAAAGCGGCGCUCUGGGCUGCACCUGACGCUGAACUGCGAAAGCCAGGGGAGCGAACGGG
rnacentral:rRNA from 1 species